CAUGAAUUAAUCAAAAAGGGGUAUGCCACUGAAGUCAAGGAGAUUGAAAGUGACCUGCAACCUGUCUUCCCUUCACUGCAACUGGAAGUGAGGACCUUGCUUGCUGGUGACAUCAUUCUGCAGCUCAUGCUGCCUUCACUGAGAGGACCUGGCUGCCGGCAGCUUCGGCUUCGCUUCUCGGCCACACAUGUAUCCGGUUCUUGCACCAGCCGCAGACUGGCUCUAAUACCUCCACAUAUGCUGAGAGCGGUGGAUAUUCAAGUCUUGGAUUAGUGGGAAUCCCCAGUAUAAUAUAAAUAAUUAUACCGCGAAGGGAUAAUGACAAGGAAAUACUGACACACAUUUGGGGCAAUGAAAUAAUAAAUUUGCCUCACCUGUAAGACUUGGUGAGUUUAUAAAAUUUUCUUACACGUUGGUGUCCACUUCUGAUGAAUUGGUGGGUAGACAACAAAUAUAAAGAUAGAGCAUGAAGUAUUGAAACGGUGUUAAUGAAU